UGAAUACGAGAUGCUACGGCGUCGAAGCAGUGUAUGUCAGACUUCCAAGAAAAGCUCGCAAUGUCAUAAAUAAAAUGCCUGUACCAUAACCGACACAGGUGGGUAGGUAGAGUAUACUAAGGGGCGCGAGAUAACUCUCUCUAAGGAACUCGGCAAAAUAACUCCGUAACUUCGGGAGAAGGAGUGCCUUCUUUAAGAAGGUUGCAAUAACAAGAUCCAAGCAACUGUUUAUCAAAAACACAGGUCUCCGCUAAGUCGUAAGACGAUGUAUGGGGGCUGACGCCUGCCCAGUGCCAGAAGGUUAAAGAAGUUGGUUAGCUUUUGCGAAGCUGAUGACUGAAGCCCUGGUGAACGGCGGCCGUAACAAUAACGGUCCUAAGGUAGCGAAAUUCCUUGUCGGGUAAGUUCCGACCCGCACGAAAGGCGUAAUGGUUUGGAUACUGUCUCGGAGAGGGACUCGGUGAAAUAGACUUGUCUGUGAAGAUGCGGACUACCUGCACCAGGACAGAAAGACCCUAUGAAGCUUUACUGUAACUUGAAAUUGAAAUUGGACUUUAUUUGCGCAGUAUAGGUGGAAGGCGUUGAAAGUAAUCUUGCGGGAUUAGUGGAGCCAUCAGUGAGAUACCACUCCUAUAAUGUUAGAUUUCUAACUUUGGAUCAUGAUCUGGUCAAAGAACAGUUUCAGGCGGGCAGUUUGACUGGGGCGGUCGCCUCCCAAAUGGUAACGGAGGCGUACAAAGGUUUCCUCUGAACGGGUAGAAAUCGUAUCUAGAGUGUAAAGGCAUAAGGAAGCUUGACUGUGAGACCUACAAGUCGAGCAGGGACGAAAGUCGGUCUUAGUGAUCUGACGGUGCUGAGUGGAAAGGCCGUCACUCAACGGAUAAAAGUUACUCUAGGAUAACAGGCUGAUCUCCCCCAAGAGUUCACAUCGACGGGGAGGUUUGGCACCUCGAUGUCGGCUCAUCGCAUCCUGGGGCGGUAGUACGUCCCAAGGGUUGGGCUGUUCGCCCAUGAAAGCGGUACGCGAGCUGGGUUCAGAACGUCGUGAGACAGUUCGGUCCAUAUCCGGUGUAGGCGUUAGAAUAUUGAGAGGAGCCUUCUUUAGUACGAGAGGACCGAGAAGGACAUACCUCUGGUGUACCAGUUAUCGUGCCAACGGUAAACGCUGGGUAGCUAUGUAUGGAGAGGAUAACCGCUGAAAGCAUCUAAGUGGGAAGCCCACCUCAAGAUGAGUAUUCUCAU
rnacentral:rRNA from 1 species